UACGUAGGCAGCAAGCGUUGUUCGGAAUUACUGGGCGUAAAGAGUGUGUAGGCGGUGUUCCAAGUUCGGUGUGAAAUCUCCCGGCUUAACUGGGAGGGUGCGCCGAAAACUGGAAUGCUCGAGCGUGGGAGAGGAAAGCGGAAUUCCUGGUGUAGCGGUGAAAUGCGUAGAUAUCGCUUGGAACGCCGAAGGUGAAAACAGGUUGCUGGGGUUGUGCCGACGCUGAGACACGAAAGCCAGGGGAGCAAACGGG
rnacentral:rRNA from 1 species